GGCGUACACGUCCAGGGGCGACACUUGGAAAAGGGAGUUCCCUCGAUAUCUGCCCGGGAUCGACGUUUUUCUACCUUUUUAAUUGCCCUUUAAAAAUUUUUCGAUCGAUAGGGCGUUAAAGACAUAAAGGAGAGAAGUGUUUCUGAGUAAGAAAGAGUCUGUGCGUUUCGAAGGACUUUUUUCUUCUUGUGAUUUUAUCGAAAAAAGUUUUGUAUAGAAGUAGAAUUUGGAGAAAGUUAGAAAAGGAAUUGGUGAAGAAAGAAGUGUGAGAUUUUCUUGCUUUAAUAGAUGGUUUAUGAGAGAAAUUUUUGUUUAUGUAAUUGAGCAGAUUAAAAAUAAUUUUUUGAGAGAUAAGAAACAAUGGUUUGAUUUCUGGGAAAUUUUUGAUUAUGUAAUUGGAAAAGAUGAAAAUCUCUUAAGCAACAAAAAGUGAUGAAAAAAUUUUAAUUGUACAUUAAUACAAUAAAAAGACAUCUUUUUUCAAAGACAAA